UCCCCAGUGGUCCAGUGGUUAGGACUCAGCUCUCUCACUGCCCAGGGCCCAGGUUCAUUUCCUGGUUGGGGAA
rfam:TPA: Bos taurus chromosome 15, whole genome shotgun sequence.